rnacentral:lncRNA from 1 species
AUUUGCUCUUUUGGAUCAUGCUCAAGAAUAUCAAUUUCUGCUUCUGCAAGAUCAUCUGAUUUGUCUUCUAAAGCAGAUAGAUAGUCAGGCUGUCUGGAUGUUGCUAUUUUAUUUGAUUUCUCUCUUUCUGAAACAGACGGGUGGUCAGGCUGUCUGCAUAUAGUUGGCUGAUUUCUGACUUUUAGAUUCUAUUUCUACAAUAACUUCAUUCUAGAUUUUGCCAGAUAAUGUAUAGGCAGUUUACUCUCUCAAAGUAAAGUACUCUCCAUCUUCUUUUUAACCUAAAGACAUCUACAAAAUAAAUAAAUAAUCUCUACCUUUUUGGCACCC